rnacentral:rRNA from 1 species
UACGUAGGGUGCGAGCGUUUGUCCGGAAUUAUUGGGCGUAAAGAGCUCGUAGGCGGUUUGUCGCGUCUUGCUGUGAAAUCCCGAGGCUCAACCUCGGGCCUGCAGUGGGUACGGGCAGACUUGAGUGCGGUAGGGGAGAAUGGAAUUCCUGGUGUAGCGGUGGAAUGCGCAGAUAUCAGGAGGAACACCGGUGGUGUAGACGGCUUUCUGGACCGUAACUGACGCUGAGACAGAAAGCGUGGGUAGCAAACAGG